GACGAACGCUGGCGGCGUGCUUAACACAUGCAAGUCGAACGGAAAGGCCCUGCUUUUGUGGGUUGCUCGAGUGGCGAACGGGUGAGUAACACGUGAGUAACCUGCCCUUGUCUUUGGGAUAACUUCAGGAAACUGGGGCUAAUAUCGGAUAGGAGCUCCUGCUGCAUGGUGGGGGUUGGAAAGUUUCGGCGGUUGGGGAUGGACUCGCGGCUUAUCAGCUUGUUGGUGGGGUAGUGGCUUACCAAGGCUUUGACGGGUAGUCGGCCUGAGAGGGUGACCGGCCACAUUGGGACUGAGAGACGGCCCAGACUGCUACGGGAGGCAGCAGGGGGGAAUAUUGCACAAUGGGCGGAAGCCUGAUGCAGCAGCGCCGCGUGCGGGAUGACGGCCUUCGGGUUGUAAACCGCUUUCGCCUGUGACGAAGCGUGAGUGACGGUAAUGGGUAAAGAAGCACCGGCUAACUACGUG
rnacentral:rRNA from 1 species